GCCCAGGUAGCUCAGUUGGUAGAGCAGGGGACUGAAAAUCCCCGUGUCGGUGGUUCGAUUCCGCCCCUGGGCAC
rnacentral:tRNA from 1 species